rnacentral:lncRNA from 1 species
CCCCACUGGUGACCCCCCACUGCUCCUACUGCUGCCAUCCCCUGCCCCCCUUGUGCUCCGUUUACCACUUGGCCCCAUUGGGAAUGAUACCCCCCCAUUGUGCCAUAUAGAGGGGAGGGGGGAGCAGUGUGGCACCACCGGGACACCGGGAUGGCACCAUAAGGGCACCGGGAUGGCACCGGGAUGGCACCAUAAAGGGCAUUGUGAUGGAACCAUGGGGACACCGGGAUGGCACCAAGAUGGCACUGGGAUGGCACCGGGAUGGCACCAUGGGAUGGCAUCAUGGGAUGGCAUCAUGGCAGCACCAGGAUGGCACCAGGAUGGCACCAUGGGGACAUGGGGAUGGCACCAAGAUGGGACCAUGGGAACAUCGGGAUAGGACCAUGGGGACACUGGGAUGGCACCAGGAUGGCACCACCGGGACACCGGGAUGGAACCAGAAGGGCACCAAGAUGGCACCAAGAUUGCACCACAGUGACACCAAGAUGGAACCAGGGUGGUACCAUGGGGACACCGGGAUGGCACAAGGAUAACACCAUAAGGGCACUGGGAUGGCACCAAGAUGGCACCAUGGGGGCACUGGGAUGGCACCAGGAUGGCACCAUGGGGGCACUGGGAUGGAACAAGGAUGGCACCAUGGGGACACCAUGAUGGCACCAUGGGGGCAUCGGGAUGGCACCAAGAUGGCACCAUGGGGACACCAAGAUGGCACUGAGAUGGCACCACCGGAACACCGGGAUGGCACCAUGACAGCUUAGGGGCACCAAGAUGUCACCAUGGGGGCACCGGGAUGGCACCAUAAGGGCACUGGGAUGGCACCAUGGGGGCACCGGGAUGGCACCAAGAUGGCACCAUGGGGGCACCAGGAUGGCACCAUAAGGGCACUGGGAUGGCACCAUGGGGAGACCGGGAUGGCACCGGGAUGGCACCAUGACAGCACUGUGAUGGCACCAUGGGGACACUGGGAUGGAACCAAGACAAUCCUGACGUCAUUCCUGGGCUGGAUAUCGGCCGCACGGUGCCCGAGGAGCCCAAAGGGGGUGGAUAAGAAUGGAGGCGGUGACGUGGCAGAGGAGCGGAAUGCGGAGGAGCUGCAGCGGGUGCAGGAAAUGCAAAGGUGGGGGGGCUGCAAUGCAUGGGGGGGGUGGGAUGGGAUAUUAUGGGAUGGGAUGGAUGGGAUGGGAUAUUAUGGGAUAUUAUGGGAUAUUAUGGGAUAUUAUGGGAU